AGCGGCGAGCGAACGGGGAGGAGCCCAGAGCCUGAAUCAGUGUGUGUGUUAGUGGAAGCGUCUGGAAAGGCGCGCGAUACAGGGUGACAGCCCCGUACACAAAAAUGCACAUGCUGUGAGCUCGAUGAGUAGGGCGGGACACGUGGUAUCCUGUCUGAAUAUGGGGGGACCAUCCUCCAAGGCUAAAUACUCCUGACUGACCGAUAGUGAACCAGUACCGUGAGGGAAAGGCGAAAAGAACCCCGGCGAGGGGAGUGAAAAAGAACCUGAAACCGUGUACGUACAAGCAGUGGGAGCACAGAGCAAUCUGUGUGACUGCGUACCUUUUGUAUAAUGGGUCAGCGACUUAUAUUCUGUAGCAAGGUUAACCGAAUAGGGGAGCCGAAGGGAAACCGAGUCUUAACCGGGCGUUAAGUUGCAGGGUAUAGACCCGAAACCCGGUGAUCUAGCCAUGGGCAGGUUGAAGGUUGGGUAACACUAACUGGAGGACCGAACCGACUAAUGUUGAAAAAUUAGCGGAUGACUUGUGGCUGGGGGUGAAAGGCCAAUCAAACCGGGAGAUAGCUGGUUCUCCCCGAAAGCUAUUUAGGUAGCGCCUCGUGAAUUCAUCUCCGGGGGUAGAGCACUGUUUCGGCAAGGGGGUCAUCCCGACUUACCAACCCGAUGCAAACUGCGAAUACCGGAGAAUGUUAUCACGGGAGACACACGGCGGGUGCUAACGUCCGUCGUGAAGAGGGAAACAACCCAGACCGCCAGCUAAGGUCCCAAAGUCAUGGUUAAGUGGGAAACGAUGUGGGAAGGCCCAGACAGCCAGGAUGUUGGCUUAGAAGCAGCCAUCAUUUAAAGAAAGCGUAAUAGCUCACUGGUCGAGUCGGCCUGCGCGGAAGAUGUAACGGGGCUAAACCAUGCACCGAAGCUGCGGCAGCGACACUGUGUGUUGUUGGGUAGGGGAGCGUUCUGUAAGCCUGUGAAGGUGUGCUGUGAGGCAUGCUGGAGGUAUCAGAAGU
rnacentral:rRNA from 1 species